rnacentral:rRNA from 1 species
CAGUAGCCGCGGGAAAACGAGGGGAGCUAGCGUUGUUCGGAAUUACUGGGCGUAAAGCGCGCGUAGGCGGCUUUUUAAGUCAGAGGUGAAAGCCCGGGGCUCAACCCCGGAAUUGCCUUUGAAACUGGAAAGCUAGAAUCUUGGAGAGGUCAGUGGAAUUCCGAGUGUAGAGGUGAAAUUCGUAGAUAUUCGGAAGAACACCAGUGGCGAAGGCGACUGACUGGACAAGUAUUGACGCUGAGGUGCGAAAGCGUGGGGAGCAAACAGGAUUAGAUACCCGAGUAGUCCCUGUCUCUUAUAC